rnacentral:rRNA from 1 species
GAUGAACGCUGGCGGUGUGCCUAAUACAUGCAAGUCGAGCGAACAGACGAGGAGCUUACUCCUCUGACGUUAGCGGCGGACGGGUGAGUAACACGUGGAUAACCUACCUAUAAGACUGGGAUAACUUCGGGAAGCCGGAGCUAAUACCGGAUAACAUGUUGAACCGCAUGGUUCAACAGUGAAAGACGGUCUUGCUGUCACUUAUAGAUGGAUCCGCGUCGCAUUAGCUAGUUGGUAAGGUAACGGCUUACCAAGGCAACGAUGCGUAGCCGACCUGAGAGGGUGAUCGGCCACACUGGAACUGAGACACGGUCCAGACUCCUACGGGAGGCAGCAGUAGGGAAUCUUCCGCAAUGGGCGAAAGCCUGACGGAGCAACGCCGCGUGAGUGAAGAAGGUCUUCGGAUCGUAAAACUCUGUUAUUAGGGAAGAACAAAUGUGUAAGUAACUAUGCACGUCUUGACGGUACCUAAUCAGAAAGCCACGGCUAACUACGUG